rnacentral:lncRNA from 1 species
ACUGCUUUAAUUUCAAUAAAAUAAAUAUAUGUGAAGUGCGUUCUUUGUUCUUUUCGUUGUGUUCUGCUAACUAACUCUUGUAAGCCUGACGAUGGCAACACGAGGUUGUCGAAAAUGUUAGCGUUUGAAUAAGUGUUUGUUAACUGCAAGAGGUGCUUCGUGAUUAAUUGAUGUAGUAAUUAUUUUAUUGAAAUUAAAGCAGUUGUUUAGAAGAAGUAUGGAUCAUACAGAGUUGAGCCAACUCGUUAAGCAAUGCCAGAAAGCCAAUAAAAGGUGCAUAAGAACGCAUGAAACAAUGCUUUUCCUGAAGGAAUGCAAGAUCAACCGGGUCUUUCCUAGAACUAUUGAUGCUAUCAAGUUACCUAUACACUCGGCUAAAGUCCUGCGGAAUACUAAGAAGAUAUGCCUCAGUGUAGCUAUUGCUGACGCCAAAAGAAGAUACUUUAAAGCCCGAAACCUAGAAGCGAUAAGCCUGG